CUUGUUAAGCCAGUACUAAACGGGAAAUUUGUUUCCAUAUUGUUAGAAAAGCUGUAGUUAUCUUGUUCAGAAACUAUGCUUUGAACCUCCAAGGCAUCAUGAACUGGUUCAGGCUCCUUUCGAGGUGAUCUUGCAGGGUUUGGUGUCCAUCUUGGGACAUUAACUGAAGAAUCCAUGCUUAAAUUUAAUCCUGGCAAAAGUUGGUGGAUAUGAGUUGAGAUUAGAUCAGAAGCUAUGAAGAACUCGGAUUUGGGUUAUCAAUGACUAUAUAUGGAUGAAUAUGAUCAUUGACGAUAUCAUGCUGAAUACCUGAGUCAGGAGGAGGGUUAGUGCUCCUUGUAAAGCCAGUGCUAAACGGGAAAUUUAUUUCCAUAUUGUUAGAGAAGCUGUAGUUAUCUUCUUCAGAAACUAUGCUCCGAACCAUCAAGGCAUCAUGAGCAAGUUCAGGCUCCUUUUGAGGUGAUCUUGCAGGGCUAGGUGUCCAUCUUGGGACCUUAACUGCAGAAUCCAUGCUUAAAUUUAAUCCUGGAAAAAGUUGAUGGAUAUGAGAUGAGAUUGAGAUUAGAAGCUAUGGCGGAUUGGAUUUGGGUUAUCAAUGAUUAUAAAUGGAUGAAUAUGAUCAAUGACUAUAUCAUGAUCACUACCUGAGUCAGAAGGAGGGUUAGUGCUCCUUGUAAAGCCAGUGCUAAACGGGAAAUUUGUUUCCAUAUUGUUAGAAAAGCUGUAGUUAUCUUCUUCAGAAACUAUGCUUUGAACUUCUAAGGCAUCAUGAGCUGGUUCAGGCUCCUUUUGAG
rnacentral:lncRNA from 1 species